rnacentral:tRNA from 1 species
GCCGACGUAGCUCAACGGUAGAGCAGCUGAUUUGUAAUCAGCAGGUUGGGGGUUCGAGUCCCUUCGUCGGCUCCA